GUGGGGAAUCUUAGACAAUGGGCGCAAGCCUGAUCUAGCCAUGCCGCGUGAGUGAUGAAGGCCCUAGGGUUGUAAAGCUCUUUCAGCUGGGAAGAUAAUGACGGUACCAGCAGAAGAAGCCCCGGCUAACUCCGUGCCAGCAGCCGCGGUAAUACGGAGGGGGCUAGCGUUGUUCGGAAUUACUGGGCGUAAAGCGCGCGUAGGCGGACCAGAAAGUUGGAGGUGAAAUCCCAGGGCUCAACCUUGGAACUGCCUUCAAAACUCCUGGUCUGGAGUUCGAGAGAGGUGAGUGGAAUUCCGAGUGUAGAGGUGAAAUUCGUAGAUAUUCGGAGGAACACCAGUGGCGAAGGCGGCUCACUGGCUCGAUACUGACGCUGAGGUGCGAAAGCGUGGGGAGCAAACAGGAUUAGAUACCCGAGUAGUCC
rnacentral:rRNA from 1 species